rnacentral:rRNA from 1 species
GCGGCUAUAUGCAGUCGAGCGGACGGGGGAGCUUGCUCCUUCCGGUUUAGCGGCGGACGGGUGAGUAACACGUGGGCAACCUGCCCUGCAGAUCGGGAUAACUCCGGGAAACCGGUGCUAAUACCGAAUAGUUUGAGGCCUCUCCUGAGGCUUCACGGAAAGACGGUUUCGGCUGUCACUGCAGGAUGGGCCCGCGGCGCAUUAGCUAGUUGGUGGGGUAAUGGCCCACCAAGGCCACGAUGCGUAGCCGACCUGAGAGGGUGACCGGCCACACUGGGACUGAGACACGGCCCAGACUCCUACGGGAGGCAGCAGUAGGGAAUCUUCCGCAAUGGACGCAAGUCUGACGGAGCAACGCCGCGUGAGUGACAAGGUUUUCGGAUCGUAAAACUCUGUUGUGAGGGAAGAACACGUACCAACUAACUAUUGGUACCUUGACGGUACCUCACCAGAAAGCCACGGCUAACUACGUGCCAGCGCCGCG